rnacentral:lncRNA from 1 species
GCGCAGUGGGCGGCACAGGCUGCUUCCUCCAGGCUGCAGCUUGCUUGCGCGGGAACCGUCCACCCCUGGGCGUGAGUCGGGGCGUUGCCCUGAAGGGGAGAGUCCCUGGAAGAUGAGGGGUGGGGUCCGUGGUGGCUCCGACUGGUCUAGGCUGGAUUUUGCAGGCGCAGACCGCUGGUGAGGUGCGUCCUGGAGCUGGGGUGGGCCCUGUGGCCCCAGGCCCUGGGGUGCCCCUGCACCUGCGAGCUGGUUCUGGAGAGAUGCGGCCUUGCGGCGGCGCCACGAGGGCCCGAGGCGGCUGCAGAGCCUCGGGAAAGGGCACUGCAAACGAGUAGAUACUUGGAGAGCUUUCCUUUUGAAACAGGCUGAAGGACCAAGUGGUGUGCUGGUGCCUGAGCUUCUGCAGCAGCUUCCAGAACCGACCUGCGAUGCAUCCGGCGGUGCCCUGUUGACGUGGGCUGUGGUGGAGAGCUGAGCUACUGGGAUGGGCCAACCCUCCAAGGGCUCCUUUCCUCCCAGCAAGGAUUGGCCUUUUUCUGCCGGUUCCCACUGUGCUCAUCAGCUGUGGUAUGGCCUGUGUCACAGCAUCCCCUCUGAUCUCCUGGUUUCUGGUCUUCCACAGUGCUGCCAGGGAGAAGAAUUUGUCGUAGGAGAGUCCAGAAUGAGAAAAACAAUGACAAUUUGAAAAGGAUACCUCCCUUACUUUAGAACAGUGCAUGAAAUUUCCUUUUAUGGUGAGUGUCAGCCUUCGGUUUAGGUCGUGAUCCCCAGGGUCUUGGGAUCGAGUCCCUCAUCCCUCUGCCUGUGUCUCUGCCUCUCUUUCUGUGUGUCUCAUGAAUAAAGAAAUAAUGAAAUCUUAAAAAAAAAGUGCAAAGCUGGGGCACCUGGGUGGCUCAAUCCAUUCCAUGUUCAGCAUCUGACUCUUGAUCUUAGCCCAGGUCUUGAUCUCUGGGUUGUGAGUUCAAGCCCCAUGUUGAGCUCCUCACUGGGCAUGGAGCCUACUUAAAAAAAAAAAAAAAAAAAGUGCAAAGCCAACUGUUCAGCCAGCGCCUCUGGCAAAUGGAUUUCUGGCAGAUUUGCCCAAACGUAGCUAGAGCACAAGGACAAGGCAGGGAGUGUUUGGGAGCCGCAGCGGUCCAGUCAUGUAGGCCUUGGUGACAAGGAGGAGUUUUAAGCCAGGGACAGGCGAUCCUGCCAGUUUUCCAUGGCAGAACCAUGAAUGCACAUCUGAUGUGCCAAGUGUGAGCCCAGCUUCUCUCCUACAGGCUGCUUCCGGAGCCCUUCCUAUUUGCCAUAGCCCAGCUCUGCCCCUUACCAGCUGCAUGACCUGGUGCAGGUGCAUUCGGUCCUCUGGCACCAAUAUCCUCAAGUGAAAAAUAGGGGUACUAACAGAACUCACAGAGAUUUGUGAGAUUAAAGGAGGUAAUGUAAGGGCUGUGCUUAGCACCAUGACUGGACCAGAAUAUGAGUAAAUUAUGAAGACAGUAGUCUUUAUAGUAGAAGUAGCAGUGGCAGUAACAAUAGCAGUGGUACAGAUACUCUUACUAGGGUAGAGGAGCUGCCCAGGGAACCAGUACCCCGGGAGUUGGGACAAGUCCUCUUAUUGUGCACUCCAGCUGAAGAGGUGGGGGAAGGGGAAGCUUGUGAGAAAGGGGGCACAAAAGGUGUCCUCUGAUCACCCUCCUCCCCUUGUGGACUAUGGA